rnacentral:tmRNA from 7 species
GGGGAUGUACAGGCUUUGAUUGAUACUUUUCCUUAUGAAUGCAAGCAGAAGCGUACCACUUCUAUAAAAGGUACAAAACUAUAAAUGCCGAUCAAAUGGCAGAUGCUUUCGUAGGCGUUCCAGCCUUCGCAAGUGUUGCAGCCUAAUAUUAGGGUGCAAGAUCUAACCGCUUCUACCCGGAGGGGUUGCUAGGUCUUAUAAAACCGGGGUGCGAAACAUAAGUUGUGGCAUAGCUUUUGUUUUUAAGUGGAAUAACCACACAAAUUUUGCCUGCUUACAGGAUUAGGUCGCCAAAAACCUUGCCUGUAUUAAGAUAAUUUUUGGCUAAGCUUGUAGUGUUUAUACUGAGAACGGUACCAAGACGCGGGUUCGAUUCCCGCCAUCUCCACCA